rfam:Schistosoma mattheei strain Denwood, Zambia genome assembly, scaffold: SMTD_scaffold0017509
GCACUACUGAGGAGUUCCAUCAUAGGACGAAACGGCCGUCUAGUGU